rnacentral:lncRNA from 1 species
UUACAGCAAAAUCCUAAAUUCCCCUUCCUGCUCAUGCAUACAAAGCAGGAAGAACUAGGAUGGCUGCAGACAAUUUUCAGAUGAUUUAGCCAGAGAGGAGAUAACUGGAUGGCUGGAAGGAGGAGUAUUUGAUAGGAAAUAACCUUGAAGCACAGCUCUGACAUGAUGGUGUGAGGUGCCCAGCUGCCUGCUCCAUGAAAUGCCAACAGGGAACGUGACUUCCAGAGGAGAUGACAAAGGGCAGCACAGGCAGAGCACCCAGAAUCCAAGGCAAGAGAGGCUGCAGGGUGGGCUGGGUGCUCCCUUCUGUCCAGAUUUCAGCACUGACACACGUGAAGUUCCCCUGCUCCGUCCAGGACUCUCACCAGGUGCUGAGGUUGUGUGUUAGGCUGCUGUAAGUCCGUGCAGCUCAGCUGACUGGGAGGCUCUCUGUGCCUGCAGACGUGCUGCUCCUUCCCCCCCAAAGGCAAAGGCAUCACCUGGGGUUUGUCAGGAGCAAAGCUGGAUGCUCCUUCUCCACCGGGUGAGAGCAGCAGUGAUGGGGACACCUCCCCAGACACGUUCCUGCUGCUCUCACAUCUGGAUGGGCAGCAGCAAAGCAAAGCCUCUUCAUCUCUUGUGAACAGCUCGCUGCUGAUAACAGCCCAGCUCUGGAUUAAUUCCCAACACCAGGCAGGAAGGUUCGUGGUGCCCAUGUGCAGGGGAGGGCAGGUGCGGGUGCUGGCACUGCCUGCCCGGGGAGGGUGAGGGUGAGGAUGGAGGCGAGGGCACCGCCGAACGCUUUGGGGAAGGAGGGUGGCUUUGGUGAGGCUGCAUCCCCCUCUGCUGGAAAAUCCAAGCCAAGGCAGCAGAGCCGCUGGCCAAGGAGAGCACUUGAGGGGAAAGGGGGAAAUCGCCGUGCAAAGAGCACAGCACUGGGAGAUGCCAGCAUUCCUAAAGGUCAUCACUUGCAUGCAGCAGCUCAUGCUGGGGAGUGUUUGCCAGCACCUACGAAAUCGAACUGCUGAAGCGACUGCCAUCGUUUCUAUUUCCCCUGGCAGUGACAGACGCUCGCACAGCUUGCCAGCUGCCACGUUCCCGGGCGUGGGGACUCCUCCAAGGUGAAGG